AUUGAACGCUGGCGGCAGGCCUAACACAUGCAAGUCGAGCGCGCGGCGGACGCGUGAGUAAUGUAUGGGGACUGCCCGCUAGAGGGGGAUGACUACUGGAAACGGUAGCUAAUACCGCAUACUAUCGGAUAACCCAUAUGGGAUGAGCUAGUAGGUGGGGUAAUGGCUCACCUAGGCGACGAUCCCUAGCUGGUCUGAGAGGAUGGUCAGCGACACUGGGACUGAGAGACGGCCCAGAGUCCUACGGAGGCAGCAGUGGGGAAUAUGGCACAAUGGGCGCAAGCCUGAUGCAGCCAUGCCGCGUGUAUGAAGAAGGCCAUAGGGUUGUAAAGUACGUUCAGUCGGGAGGCGUUACCUACAGAAGAAGCACCGGCUAACUCCGUGCCAGCAGCCGCGGUAAUAC
rnacentral:rRNA from 1 species